UACGAGGGGGGCGAGCGUUGUUCGGAAUUAUUGGGCGUAAAGGGUGCGUAUGCGGCCUGACAAGUCUGAUGUGAAAUCCCUGGGCUCAACCCAGGGCCUGCAUCGGAAACUGUCGGGCUUGAGUAUGGGAGAGGUGAGUGGAAUUUCCGGUGUAGCGGUGAAAUGCGUAGAUAUCGGAAGGAACACCUGUGGCGAAAGCGGCUCACUGGACCAUUACUGACGCUGAGGCACGAAAGCUAGGGGAGCAAACAGG
rnacentral:rRNA from 1 species